rnacentral:rRNA from 1 species
GACGAACGCUGGCGGCGUGCUUAACACAUGCAAGUCGAACGGAAAGGCCCUGCUUUUGUGGGGUGCUCGAGUGGCGAACGGGUGAGUAACACGUGAGUAACCUGCCCUUGACUUUGGGAUAACUUCAGGAAACUGGGGCUAAUACCGGAUAGGAGCUCCUGCUGCAUGGUGGGGGUUGGAAAGUUUCGGCGGUUGGGGAUGGACUCGCGGCUUAUCAGCUUGUUGGUGGGGUAGUGGCUUACCAAGGCUUUGACGGGUAGCCGGCCUGAGAGGGUGACCGGCCACAUUGGGACUGAGAUGCGGCCCAGACUCCUACGGGAGGCAGCAGUGGGGAAUAUUGCACAAUGGGCGGAAGCCUGAUGCAGCAACGCCGCGUGCGGGAUGACGGCCUUCGGGUUGUAAACCGCUUUCGCCUGUGACGAAGCGUGAGUGACGGUAAUGGGUAAAGACGCACCGGCUAACUACG